CUUUCUCUAUCUCUCUCUCUCUCCCUCUCACUAUCUUUCUAUCUCUAUAUAUAUCUCUCUUUCUUUCUCUCUCUCUUUCUGUCCAUACCAAGGGUCCCACAGCAGCAGCCUUAGCCUGUGUCUCAGUAGGAGAGACCAUUGGCCACUGUUUACCAUUUAACAUUUGCAUGGAAUCUGGGCACACGUCCAGACUCUGUUUUUUUCCAUGCAAGCGUAUACACACAGGUCUUGCCAUGGUUUCUCAAUUAUGCACUCAUCCCUGUGCUGUGAGAUCUCCCUCUCACGCAAGCUCUUUUAACCAUGUGGUGGCAGCACCAAGACGUCUUCAUGCCAAUUGCAAGAACUGAAUUGAAUUUGAAUUGAAUUGAAUUACCAGGUCAUUCUAUGCAUGGAUGAGAACAAUGCAAGAGAAUAAUUGUGAAAAACUAGGUCAAGGGAACUUGUUGUUUUAGGGUCCUGGGCUAAGAUUUGCCAUGUACACCACCAGGCCAGACACCGCUUUGUCAACUUUACAUCUCCCAUUCAUGACAUUCUCCAUUGAUCUUCUCCGAAAAACACAUGCGCACCCAACCACAAUGGUAAGAAACCCAGAGAAAAAUAUCCCCUCCUGUUUGAAACACAUGUGUGUUACAUUGGGCAGAAUUCGUUCCGGCUGCCCCGUCAUCUAGAGCAUCCUUAGCCUGAAGUCAAUUUAUAAGAAAGAGCUAUUUGAGUAAGUCUCUGUUUUCAUCCAACAGCCAGACGCAGAGGAGUGCUAUGCUGGUAUGAGAUGCUCUCCGCUGAUAAGAGCAGCCUUGUUGUCUCACUAUGGUUGUGGGGUCUAGACACGCCACAGCCAUGUGGCAGAGAGCUAUUCUUAGCCCAGGAUGAGAGGAAGUGAUUAAUAAUCUGCUAAGAUAGCCUUUUGGAUGCUCGGUGACAUUAAGGGCUCUAUGCACAGCACUACAGAGUGGUUAUCUGAAGAGGAUGCUCUGUAAUUGACACCAGAGUAGCUCAUUUUCGAUUAGCUUGUGUAAUGAAUGAGACCCUAAUCAGUAUUAUGUUGCUAAUAGGAAACUAUUGUGAGGGAGAUCUGUAUAGGAAGUUUUUUACUUUUUAAAUCUAUUUCAUGAGCUUCUUUGUUUUACCAUUACAGCACAGUUGGUGAUGGAGGAUCAGUACCCAGAUGGCACAGUAAUAUCUACAUAAUUACCUCUGUGGGAACAUAGCUUUUCACUUAAAUGGUUAACUUAUCUGUUGUUAAAACAAUCGUAUGUUUUGCUUGUCAUGUUUUGCUGCAUUUGAGUAUGUGAAAAUUAAUGGUUUGAGGCAUAUCUCAGUUUUAUCACCCACAAAAUCAUCACUUAAAUCACUCAUAGUGCCCUUAACAGACAUUCUUUCAAGCUUACUCUGCCACUAUCUUGUAUUUACAUUGAGGGGCAUUUUCAUCGAGUCAGAAUAAUCUCACGCUUCCAGAGGGCUAUAUUGGGCAUAUAACAUGGCUAGGAUUCAAGAAAGUGACAGACAGAGAGACAGCAGAACACAUAGUCUGGUAAAGGGGACUUGGGAAGGACUAUGAACUGUCACUUCACUCGUUAUGCUUCAUGUCCAUCCAUGAUAUGACCGAUAACAGGAUGGAUUCGAAACAGGGCCAGAGACCAGGCAACUGGAUGGAGUCCCAGCCAUAGCCACCUGCUGGGUUUCCUGUUCCCACCAUUCCCAUACCGCAGGAAAUGUGUCACUUUGGGAAAGCAAACCCGGAAGGAGAGAAGAGGAGGGGUGAGGGAAGGAGAGAUGGACAGUGUAAAAAGAGAGAGAAUAGGAGAAGAGUAAAGAGGAGGAGAAACCAGCUGGACAGUUGGAAAAUCAGUGAUGCUUCUCCCCCCAGCGCAUCACUAAGAUUGCUGAGAACCCAACGGUGUGGCUUGGGUGAGUCCGGCAUUACCAGCUGCAGCGUCUGCUACUGACCCAUCUGACGAAACUCACGCUCAACAAUUGUUUCGUCGCUCUAAAUAUAACUGGGUGUUCUCGUGUCCAUCAGCACCCACUGGGGGCCUUUGCAGGGUCCUGUCCAAGUGGUCCCAAACGACUGAUGUGGGAAAUGUUUUCUGGUCAGCACUAGCGUGUAGGAGACCAUCUCUGACAGCCUCCCCAGCUGUGUGCUUUGGUGCAUGGGGACCCACUAUUAAAAUGUUCCAAGAGCCGUUCUGUUGCACAGCCCUCCAGCGGUACUGUCUGCAGGAAUGUUCUUGUGGAGGGAGACUUGACGCAAAAGCCACUGCCUUUGAAGUGGAGCAUCAGGGCCGCGUUCCCUCACGGCUCGCAGAUCACUCGCUGGCCAUCGCUAGAGACAUCUCAAAGAAUCAUGGGAAAACGAAGAGAGAUGCGCCUGUUGGGACAGAGCUGACCCCAUCCCCUCCAUCCAUCUCUCUCCCAGCGCGAAUGCCCACCCAGCUUCUCUGCUCUCGGGAUACCACAGACAGCCAGGACACAGAGGAUGCCGCCUCUGCUGAAUUAGUCAGUUGUUCUCCCAAGGAGUCUUUCCUACCCUCCCAAAGACGACAGAGGAAUACUGAGGGUAAACAUCUGGUUUUUCUAUUUGACCACAUGGUCCACAUGCAACCCUACCAUAUUUGUCCAAUUUGGCCAGAAGGAAUAUAGGAUUUGGAAACUCUGUGCGGAAGUGGCUUUGUGUAAUGGUUACUAUGAGCUACAAUCACAGGUGCACUGAGGUCUUUAUCAGUAUGCAGUGCUGCCGGAGGCAGUUAUAAAGGUUGUUACUGUAUGCCCUUGGCAAAUAACAAAAGUUUUAUUUUAUCGCCAAUCUGUGUCCUUCAUGCACUCUGAACAUCAUGAGAUCAUUUCAUACAUGACUUAUAAGAUACAUGAAGUAUUUUAUAAAUCUCGGUUUCAAAUGCAAUGAGAGCAGUAUGGCUUACAUUCAACUUUUAGGGGAAUGAAAUGAACAAGUGCAUGUUUGCCCAUGACAGAUGAUGAUAUAGAUUUUCAAGGACUACCUUGUGUACCAAGUCACACAUUAUGUAGCGUUAAGAUACAACACCAGCAGCAAAUGAGAAUGGGGUUUAACUUCUGGGAUGGGCCAUUUCUAGGCUUUCCCCCCAACAUUGCACUGUGCCUACUUCAGAGGGCACUGUUCCCACCUAUUUUUGCCUACCAUUAAAUGCUUGACCUCUUUAUAAAGCUGAGACCCUGAAUACCCUGAACAGAAUUAAUGUGUGAUGUAGUGGCCAGUAAAUACCUGUAAAGGUAUGCAUUUGGCAAAAUGCUUGGAGACUCUUAUGAUUACCCAAAAUGCAUACUGACAAUAAAAGGCUCACUGUAAAUGAACCCCUUGGUGUAGAAGCAUAAUCAUGAUCUCAAAUGAAAGGUAACUGUAAUAAUGCGUCCAAGCGGAUGGUGAGACUCAGGCAAUGAAAUUCAAGUUGAUGUAAUCUUUUUUUAUUAGUAUUAAUAUGAAGCUACCGGCAGGUUUAUGCAACAGACAAAA